AGAGUUUGAUCAUGGCUCAGAUUGAACGCUGGCGGCAGGCCUAACACAUGCAAGUCGAACGGUAACAGGAAGCAGCUUGCUGCUUUGCUGACGAGUGGCGGACGGGUGAGUAAUGUCUGGGAAACUGCCUGAUGGAGGGGGAUAACUACUGGAAACGGUAGCUAAUACCGCAUAACGUCGCAAGACCAAAGAGGGGGACCUUCGGGCCUCUUGCCAUCGGAUGUGCCCAGAUGGGAUUAGCUAGUAGGUGGGGUAACGGCUCACCUAGGCGACGAUCCCUAGCUGGUCUGAGAGGAUGACCAGCCACACUGGAACUGAGACACGGUCCAGACUCCUACGGGAGGCAGCAGUGGGGAAUAUUGCACAAUGGGCGCAAGCCUGAUGCAGCCAUGCCGCGUGUAUGAAGAAGGCCUUCGGGUUGUAAAGUACUUUCAGCGGGGAGGAAGGCGAUAAGGUUAAUAACCUUGUCGAUUGACGUUACCCGCAGAAGAAGCACCGGCUAACUCCGUGCCAGCAGCCGCGGUAAUACGGAGGGUGCGAGCGUUAAUCGGAAUUACUGGGCGUAAAGCGCACGCAGGCGGUCUGUCAAGUCGGAUGUGAAAUCCCCGGGCUCAACCUGGGAACUGCAUUCGAAACUGGCAGGCUAGAGUCUUGUAGAGGGGGGUAGAAUUCCAGGUGUAGCGGUGAAAUGCGUAGAGAUCUGGAGGAAUACCGGUGGCGAAAGCGGCCCCCUGGACAAAGACUGACGCUCACGUGCGAAAGCGUGGGGAGCAAACAGGAUUAGAUACCCUGGUAGUC
rnacentral:rRNA from 1 species